rnacentral:misc_RNA from 1 species
CCCUUGUGGAGGAGGACGCCGAAGGUGGGGCUAAUGACUGGGGUGAAGUCGUAACAAGGUAGCCGUACCGGAAGGUGCGGCUGGAUCACCUCCUAACAGGGAGACAACAAAAUGUUUAAUAUUAUUAUUUUGUCACCUUAGGUCGAUCGGUAUCUCACGUUCUUAAUUAAUUAAGAAUUUCAUUUCCUAAGUUUUUCUAGGUCACACCCAUUAUUUUUCCUGGGCCAUUAGCUCAGGUGGUUAGAGCGCACCCCUGAUAAGGGUGAGGUCCCUGGUUCAAGUCCAGGAUGGCCCAUAUCUCUAUGUUGGGGGUAUAGCUCAGUUGGUAGAGCGCCUGCUUUGCAAGCAGGAUGUCAGCGGUUCGAGUCCGCUUACCUCCACUGAUUACCACCUCUUCCAUAAUCUGUAGAAAGGAAAUCUUUUGAGUUGUGAUCAAAUUCUGAACGAAUCUAGCUUCCUAAUGAAAGCAUUAAGAUGCUGGACUCAUUGAAUUAAUUUCAUUGUUUUCAGAGAACCUUGACAACUGCAUAGAUUAUUUUUAAAGACAAUAAGCAUCUUUAAUGAUGCAGAUUUAUUAUUUGUGCGAAUGCAUUAAUAACAAUUCUAUUAAGCUGAUGCUUCAAUUUUGAAGUUAUUGGUCAAGCUACAAAGGGCUCACGGAGGAUACCUAGGCACACAGAGGC